GGCUCUGUGGGGUAGUGGUAUAGCCCGGCGUAGGAUUCCAUCUAUAAAUCGCAGACGUCGGUUCGAUUCCGGCUGGAGCUC